rnacentral:pre_miRNA from 1 species
GGGAGCACAGGAUCCUGGGCUGUGUCCCCUGGGCCCUGGGCUCGGGGCCUGCGCUGCUGGAAUCGUGCUCCUGGGCCGCGGCUUCC